CGUUGGUUAAUAUCGACCAGACUACACAGCGCAACAACACAGAAGAUGGAAAUCUUCAAGUGAUUUAAUGUUUAAAAUAAAUUCCAUUUGUAAAUUUCUGGACCUAAGGCAGGACAUACAAAGAGGAAACUAGUUGCAAGAGAUGGGCUUCCAAAAUUGACUGUAAAAACCUUAAAUCUGAUCACAGUGUUGUUUAGAGACCAAUUUUCUGUUAUAGGUGAUCCUUGUGCAGUAGUAAGAAAGACAUAACCAUACAAAAUAUUCAGUUUCCUACAUUUUCUGCUUAUCUUGGACACACAGAUCUCUCCCGAAAGCACUCUUAAGUCCUUAGAGAACUGGUUGACACUUAUGGUAUUUUACAGCAUGACAGCAAGAAAGGAUUAAGGUUUGAGGAGUAGUUAAGUGUCUCUAACCUCAAUCUCUUUGAGAUACAUCACAUUUAAGCUGAUUAAGUUCUGAAACCAAUUCAUAAGAGAAUAAACAUUACAUCAAGGAUGAAAUACAGGCAGACAUGCACCAGGACUCAAAUGAUCUAUGUGAGCCAUGAUAGCUCAGUCAGUAAAGUGACCAGCUGACUUGGAUAGCUUGGUCCUACCCAACCUUCUAUCAAAUGGGUAAUGGGCAAUAGGGACCCUACAUGGAGUUCCAUGCGUUCCCGCUGCGACGUCUGUAGCUGCCGCAUCAGUUCCUCAUCUUUUCCGGUUGUUCCCGAUCGCUCUGGUGGCCAGCUUGCCAAUCGUAGUUGAGCUUCAAGGCCAGAGCGUUGGACUUCACUAUUUGCCAACUCUGUCUGCAGCCGCUGGUUCUGAUCAGAGAGAUGUUGAUUGGUAUGUCGCAGCUCAGCCAAUGUUUGUUGUGACGCUUCAAGGCGUUCUGUGAUCACUCUGCGUUCAUUUUCACUGUUGGUCAAUGAUUUUUGAAGCUGUGAAAAUAAAUAAGUGAAAAGUAUAAGCCAAAGGCUAAGAUUCAGUCUCAAUGAAAAUGUGCACUUUUAUUUAUUGGUUACUUCAUAAUACUGUAUCUAUUAAAACCAAGAUUUCAACUUCUGAAUACAAAGUAUGAAAGCUAACCACUUUACUAUGACAUUCAGUAAUACUGUAUCAACUACUAGGAUAUCGUGAAUGAUGAACACAUUUAUUCAUAGGUUAUUUAACACUGAUGUAUAAACUGCAGAAAUCA